UGGUCAUGCUCAGUACUAGUUGUUCUCUAAUAACUAUCUGCACUCGAUGUCCAGUGUCUCUACACUAUAGGUCAGAGACUCAUCUAUCCCGAAAGAAGUGAUUUGUACACCGGUCUAUCCGAAUCAAUCACUGUCCUCAUGAUGAUAUUAUGAUCGAAAGUAUUUAAAAAUUAAAUAUAUAUUUUUAAUUUUUAAUACUUUGAGAAUAUGUAUCGA
rnacentral:lncRNA from 1 species